GAUGAACGCUGGCGGCGUGCCUAAUACAUGCCAGUCGAGCGAACAGACGAGGAGCUUGCUCCUCUGACGUUAGCGGCGGACGGGUGAGUAACACGUGGAUAACCUACCUAUAAGACUGGGAUAACUUCGGGAAACCGGAGCUAAUACCGGAUAAUAUAUUGAACCGCAUGGUUCAAUAGUGAAAGACGGUUUUGCUGUCACUUAUAGAUGGAUCCGCGCCGCAUUAGCUAGUUGGUAAGGUAACGGCUUACCAAGGCAACGAUGCGUAGCCGACCUGAGAGGGUGAUCGGCCACACUGGAACUGAGACACGGUUCAGACUCCUACGGGAGGCAGCAGUAGGGAAUCUUCCGCAAUGGGCGAAAGCCUGACGGAGCAACGCCGCGUGAGUGAUGAAGGUCUUCGGAUCGUAAAACUCUGUUAUUAGGGAAGAACAAAUGUGUAAGUAACUAUGCACGUCUUGACGGUACCUAAUCAGAAAGCCACGGCUAACUACGUG
rnacentral:rRNA from 1 species